AUGGAGUUUGGACUGAGCUGGGUUUUCCUUGUUGCUAUUUUAAAAGGUGUCCAGUGUGAAGUGCAGCUGGUGGAGUCUGGGGGAGUCGUGGUACAGCCUGGGGGGUCCCUGAGACUCUCCUGUGCAGCCUCUGGAUUCACCUUUGAUGAUUAUACCAUGCACUGGGUCCGUCAAGCUCCGGGGAAGGGUCUGGAGUGGGUCUCUCUUAUUAGUUGGGAUGGUGGUAGCACAUACUAUGCAGACUCUGUGAAGGGCCGAUUCACCAUCUCCAGAGACAACAGCAAAAACUCCCUGUAUCUGCAAAUGAACAGUCUGAGAACUGAGGACACCGCCUUGUAUUACUGUGCAAAAGAUA